AUGCAGUCGAACGAGAGAUGAGGAGCUUGCUCUUCAAAUCGAGUGGCGAACGGGUGAGUAACGCGUGAGGAACCUGCCUCAAAGAGGGGGACAACAGUUGGAAACGACUGCUAAUACCGCAUAAGCCCACGGCUCGGCAUCGAGCAGGGGGAAAAGGAGCAAUCCGCUUUGAGAUGGCCUCGCGUCCGAUUAGCUAGUUGGUGAGGUAAUGGCCCACCAAGGCGACGAUCGGUAGCCGGACUGAGAGGUUGAACGGCCACAUUGGGACUGAGACACGGCCCAGACUCCUACGGGAGGCAGCAGUGGGGAAUAUUGCACAAUGGGGGAAACCCUGAUGCAGCGACGCCGCGUGGAGGAAGAAGGUCUUCGGAUUGUAAACUCCUGUUGUUGAGGAAGAUAAUGACGGUACUCAACAAGGAAGUGACGGCUAACUACGUGCCAGCAGCCGCGGUAAAACGUAGGUCACAAGCGUUGUCCGGAAUUACUGGGUGUAAAGGGAGCGCAGGCGGGAGAACAAGUUGGAAGUGAAAUCCAUGGGCUCAACCCAUGAACUGCUUUCAAAACUGUUUUUCUUGAGUAGUGCAGAGGUAGGCGGAAUUCCCGGUGUAGCGGUGGAAUGCGUAGAUAUCGGGAGGAACACCAGUGGCGAAGGCGGCCUACUGGGCACCAACUGACGCUGAGGCUCGAAAGUGUGGGUAGCAAACAGGAUUAGAUACCCUGGUAGUCCACACCGUAAACGAUGAUUACUAGGUGUUGGAGGAUUGACCCCUUCAGUGCCGCAGUUAACACAAUAAAGUAAUCCACCUGGGGAGUACGACCGCAAGGGUUGAAACUCAAAGGAAUUGACGGGGGCCCGCACAAGCAG
rnacentral:rRNA from 1 species